CCCCAGGAGACUCUGGUUCGGCCAGACUGGAAGCCGACGAAUCGCUGAGAUCCCCUGCAGAUGGACUGCAAGCCUCGCUCUCUGGGGUGCUUCGAAACUGGCCUUUCCUCUCCCGGGCCCUGGUGUUCUGGAACCAGACCUGCACCACCCGCUUUUUGAGUCCCACCUCCUCGGAGAUGCAGUCAAGCAUCUUGCGCGUUGGGUUGGAGUCUUGCAUGUACCAACGGUACAGGAUCUCCAGCUGCUCGGGCAGGAUGGUGUAGGUGAAUGGAAUCUGGUUCCAACCUCUUGAACGGAUGACAAGAUGGCCUGAGCAGACACUCCCCUCCAGUCCCGAACAUCAGAAAAGCCGAAUAAAGUACUGGAUUCAUUUUAUCAGAGUCCACCAUCCUUUGGCCUCCCCUCCACGACUAUCUCCAAAAAGUUGAUUAUCCCAGUACAUACUUGCCACUGUAUCCAGUCCUGGGUCUUCCCAUCGCUCUCCCACUCAGCAUCUCUUUGAUCCGUCCCCAUCCCCUUCUCUUCUCUCCCCCCAGAGGCUCUGUGCUGCUCCCCUCAAGU